UGGCCGAAUUGGGUAAUCUGUCAUCUUGCCUAUUGCGUUUUUGCCGGUUUUUACGUUUUUACAUCUUUACUUGCGUCAAUUUGCCAUUAAUCUCCUUUAUUCACACAAAAUAGUCUUUAUAAAGACUCGUCGGUGUAUUCUAAAGAUAGUCAGGGUUAUAUUAUUCGCGAUCAAGAAAAGUUGUACGCAAACAUGAAUGUCGCCGGUGCUGCUUUCUCUCCACCG